AUUUGAAAUUUUUUUAAUUUUAUUUUUUUUAAAUCAGUUUGUUCCCACUUCAUUGGAAUUUUUUAAUUUUAUCACGCAAACCAUUUUGAAUCCGUUCGAUCUGAUUUAAGACAUGUUGGACGCUUUAGAUAUCACUGAAUGUCUUGAAAUUAAAAAUAGAUCUCGAUGCGCAGGGCCGGAUGUUUGAUCCGCUUAAAAUUUUUAAAUUUCUAAAAUCAAUUUUUCGAACCGCUUUACAGCAUUUUCUGAGCAGACGUUGGGUAGCCAGUGGAUGCCUGUUCAAACGGUGGCCCACUCGAGUGCUCGAAUCAGAUAUGGAGCGAGAAAAUUUGAGAAAUGCCAGUCCUCGUGUAGAAUCAAACAAUAUUCUUGCUCAACUACGGUUCUGAUUUGGUGUUCUUUUAAUGAGGUCGACUGAAAUGUUAAAAAAGAUCAGAACUGAACGCUGAAUUUGUAAAUGUGUCAUCAGGUGUUGAGUUUUCCGAAAAUAUUAAUUUGAUUUGGUUCCUAUGAAUUUUUUAUCGAAGGCCUAGGUUACCACCUUAACGAAUCCCUUUUAUUCUUACAAUUCAGCAAAACUCUAUUUGUUGUGUAUCCCAAAAUUGACCCG